CUUACACAUGCAAGUCGAGGGGCAGCACGAGGUAGCAAUACUUUGGUGGCGACCGGCGCACGGGUGAGUAACGCGUAUGCAACCUUCCUUUUACAGGAGGAUAGCUUCCGGAAACGGAAAUUAAUACUCCAUACAAUUACGAAGUGGCAUCACUUUCAGAUUAAAGCUACGGCGGUAAAAGAUGGGCAUGCGUAACAUUAGCUAGUUGGUGAGGUAAAGGCUCACCAAGGCGACGAUGUUUAGGGGUCCUGAGAGGGUUAUCCCCCACACUGGUACUGAGACACGGACCAGACUCCUACGGGAGGCAGCAGUGAGGAAUUUGGUCAUUGGGCGCAAGCCUGAACCAGCCAUCCCGCGUGCAGGAAGACGGCCCUAUGGGUUGUAAACUGCUUUUCUGAGGGAAGAAUAACGCUGAUUCGUUCAGUGGACGACGGUACCUCAGGAAUAAGCAUCGGCUAACUCCGUGCCAGCAGCCGCGGUAAUACGGAGGAUGCAAGCGUUAUCCGGAUUCAUUGGGUUUAAAGGGUGCGUAGGCGGACUGGUAAGUCAGUGGUGAAAUCCUGCAGCUUAACUGUGGAAUUGCCAUUGAAACUGUCAGUCUUGAGUCAGGUUGAGGUAGGCGGAAUGUGUAAUGUAGCGGUGAAAUGCAUAGAUAUUACACAGAACACCGAUUGCGUAGGCAGCUUACUGGACCUGCACUGACGCUGAGGCACGAAAGCGUGGGGAUCAAACAGGAUUAGAUACCCUGGUAGUCCAUGCCGUAAACUAUGAUUACUCGUUGUUGGCAAUACAUCGUCAGCGACCAAGCGAAAGCGAUAAGUAAUCCACCUGGGGAGUACGCUCGCAAGAGUGAAACUCAAAGGAAUUGACGGGGGCCCGCACAAGCGGUGGAACAUGUGGUUUAAUUCGAUGAUACGCGAGGAACCUUACCUGGGCUUAAAUGUAGACUGCAUAGCGUGGAAACAUGCUUUUCUU
rnacentral:rRNA from 1 species